GAUGAACGCUAGCGGCAGGCCUAAUACAUGCAAGUCGAACGGUGUCUUCGGACAUAGUGGCGCACGGGUGCGUAACACGUAUGCAACCUACCUUACAUUGGGGGAUAGCCUUUCGAAAGGGAGAUUAAUACCGCAUAAGACAGUAGCUGGGCAUCCAGCAGCUGUUAAAGAUUUAUCGAUGUAAGCUGGGCAUGCGUCCAAUUAGCUAGUUGGUGAGGUAACGGCUCACCAAGGCAAUGAUUGGUAGGGGAACUGAGAGGUCAAUCCCCCACACUGGCACUGAGAUACGGGCCAGGCUCCUACGGGAGGCAGCAGUAGGGAAUAUUGGGCAAUGGACGCAAGUCUGACCCAGCCAUGCCGCGUGUAGGAUGAAGGCGUUAUGCGUUGUAAACUGCUUUUAUACAGGAAGAAACGACUCUUGCGAGAGGCAUUGACGGUACUGUAUGAAUAAGCACCGGCUAACUCCGUGCCAGCCGCCGCGGUAACAC
rnacentral:rRNA from 1 species